AUAAACUCCUAUCUCACAUGCACAAACACUAAACAUCAUCAACUCUCUCAAAGGCAAAGAUCCGCCAUGGAACAUUCUCCCACCUUCCUCCUCCUCCUCUCCACCGUCCUCCUCCUCCUCCUCGCAGCCACUCCCGGAACCCUAUCUCAACCAGCCGCAGCUCCGGCCCCACCAGGACCCACAAACGUCACCAAAAUCCUCGAAAAGGCUGGCCAGUUCACUAUCUUCAUUCGACUACUCAAAUCCACCGGCGU
rnacentral:lncRNA from 1 species